rnacentral:rRNA from 1 species
UACGUAGGUGGCAAGCGAUACUCGGAAUCACUAGGCGUAAAGCGCAGGUAGGCGGUUUGGUAAGUCUUUUGUGAAAGCUCCCGGCUUAACUGGGAGAGGUCAAGGGAAACUACCGGACUAGAGUGCGGUAGGGGAUACUGGAAUUCCUGGUGUAGCGGUGAAAUGCGUAGAUAUCAGGAGGAAUACCUAUGGCGAAAGCAGGUAUCUGGGCCAUCACUGACGCUGAGCUGCGAAAGCUAGGGGAGCAAACAGG